rnacentral:rRNA from 1 species
CUACGGGACGCAGCAGUGAGGAAUAUUGCACAAUGGAGGAAACUCUGAUGCAGCAACGCCGCGUGGAGGAUGACGCAUUUCGGUGUGUAAACUCCUUUUAUAUGUCAAGAAAAUGACGGUAGCAUAUGAAUAAGCACCGGCUAACUCCGUGCCAGCAGCCGCGGUAAUACGGAGGGUGCAAGCGUUACUCGGAAUCACUGGGCGUAAAGGACGCGUAGGCGGGAUAUCAAGUCAGGUGUGAAAUCCUACAGCUUAACUGUAGAACUGCACUUGAAACUGGUAACCUAGAGUAUGGGAGGGGGAGAUGGAAUUAGUGGUGUAGGGGUAAUAUCCGUAGAUAUCACUAGGAAUACCUAAAGCGAAGGCGAUCUCCUGGAACAUAACUGACGCUAAGGCGUGAAAGCGUGGGGAGCAAACAGGAUUAGAUACCCCAGUAGUC